rfam:Hordeum vulgare subsp. vulgare, WGS project CAJW01000000 data, contig: morex_contig_49092
CAUAUACUCCCUCCGUCUGGAAUUACUUGUUGAAGAAAUGGAUGUAUCUAGAUGUAUUUUGCUUGUAGAUACAUCCAUUUUUAUCCAUUCCGCGACAAGUAAUUUGGUACGGAUGGAGUAUUCA